rnacentral:piRNA from 1 species
UACCAACAUUGUCAUUCCCUUUGUGAGUGG